rnacentral:piRNA from 1 species
GACACUCUUGAGGCAGUCGGAUGCGUGGA